rnacentral:rRNA from 1 species
UACAGAGGGUGCGAGCGUUAAUCGGAAUUACUGGGCGUAAAGCGUGCGUAGGUGGUUUGUUAAGUCAGGUGUGAAAUCCCUGGGCUCAACCUGGGAACUGCAUUUGAUACUGGCUAACUAGAGUGUGGUAGAGGGUGGUGGAAUUCCCGGUGUAGCGGUGAAAUGCGUAGAUAUCGGGAGGAACAUCAGUGGCGAAGGCGGCCACCUGGACCAACACUGACACUGAGGCACGAAAGCGUGGGUAGCAAACAGG